rnacentral:tRNA from 1 species
GCCUCCUUAGCUCAAUUGGCAGAGCAACUGAUUUGUAAUCAGUAGGUUGCUGGUUCGAUUCCGGCAGGGGGCAC